AAUGAACGUUGGCGGCGUGGAUUAGGCAUGCAAGUCGAGCGCUCAUCAGCAAUGGUGGGAGCGGCGAACGGCGUAGUAAUGCAUCGGAACGUACCCUCUGGACGGGGAUAGCCACGGGAAACUGUGGGUAAUACCCGAUAAUCUCUGCGGAGCAAAGGUGUGAUUCCGCCGGAGGAGCGGCUGAUGUGAUAUUAGCUAGUUGGUGGGGUAAAGGCCUACCAAGGCGAUGAUGUCUAGGGGGUGUGAGAGCAUGGCCCCCACGACCGGAACUGAGAUACUGUCCGGACACCUACGGGUGGCUGCAGUCGAGAAUCUUCCGCAAUGGACGAAAGUCUGACGGAGCGACGCCGCGUGCGGGAUGAAGGCCCUUGGGUUGUAAACCGCUGUCAGAGGGGAUGAAAUCGUCGGGGGUACUCCCCCGAUGUUGACAGAGCCUCAAAGGAAGCACGGGCUAAGUACGUG
rnacentral:rRNA from 1 species